GAUGAACGCUGGCGGCGUGCUUAACACAUGCAAGUCGAACGGAAAGGCUCCUGCUUGCAGGGGUACUCGAGUGGCGAACGGGUGAGUAACACGUGGGUGAUCUGCCCUGCACUUCGGGAUAAGCCUGGGAAACUGGGUCUAAUACCGGAUAGGACGAUGGUUUGGAUGCCAUUGUGGAAAGUUUUUCGGUGUGGGAUGAGCUCGCGGCCUAUCAGCUUGUUGGUGGGGUAAUGGCCUACCAAGGCGUCGACGGGUAGCCGGCCUGAGAGGGUGUACGGCCACAUUGGGACUGAGAUACGGCCCAGACUCCUACGGGAGGCAGCAGUGGGGAAUAUUGCACAAUGGGCGCAAGCCUGAUGCAGCGACGCCGCGUGGGGGAUGACGGCCUUCGGGUUGUAAACUCCUUUCGCUAGGGGCGAAGCGUUAUGUGACGGUACCUGGAGAAGAAGCACCGGCUAACUACGUGCCAGCAGCCGCGGUAAUACGUAGGGUGCGAGCGUUGUCCGGAAUUACUGGGCGUAAAGAGCUCGUAGGUGGUUUGUCGCGUCGUUUGUGUAAGCCCGCAGCUUAACUGCGGACUGCAGGCGAUACGGGCAUAACUUGAGUGCUGUAGGGGAGACUGGAAUUCCUGGUGUAGCGGUGGAAUGCGCAGAUAUCAGGAGGAACACCGAUGGCGAAGGCAGGUCUCUGGGCAGUAACUGACGCUGAGGAGCGAAAGCAUGGGUAGCGAACAGGAUUAGAUACCCUGGUAGUCCAUGCCGUAAACGGUGGGCGCUAGGUGUGAGUCCCUUCCACGGGGUUCGUGCCGUAGCUAACGCAUUAAGCGCCCCGCCUGGGGAGUACGGCCGCAAGGCUAAAACUCAAAGGAAUUGACGGGGGCCCGCACAAGCGGCGGAGCAUGUGGAUUAAUUCGAUGCAACGCGAAGAACCUUACCUGGGCUUGACAUACACCAGACCGGGCCAGAGAUGGUCUUUCCCUUUGUGGUUGGUGUACAGGUGGUGCAUGGUUGUCGUCAGCUCGUGUCGUGAGAUGUUGGGUUAAGUCCCGCAACGAGCGCAACCCUUGUCUUAUGUUGCCAGCACGUUAUGGUGGGGACUCGUGAGAGACUGCCGGGGUUAACUCGGAGGAAGGUGGGGAUGACGUCAAAUCAUCAUGCCCCUUAUGUCCAGGGCUUCACACAUGCUACAAUGGUCGGUACAACGCGUCUGCGAGCCUGUGAGGGUGAGCUAAUCGCUGUAAAGCCGGUCGUAGUUCGGAUUGGGGUCUGCAACUCGACCCCAUGAAGUCGGAGUCGCUAGUAAUCGCAGAUCAGCAACGCUGCGGUGAAUACGUUCCCGGGCCU
rnacentral:rRNA from 1 species